AUUCUUUGCUCGUGCAUCUCCUCUACCGCAACCUCCUCCGCUCGCCUCUUUUCUUCCUCUCUCUUGUAGAUGCUUACGCCUCCCUCACCGGCGACCGGCUGUGCCGCCAGCCAUGGCCACCGCGCCUCCCCCACCGUGGCUGCCCCCACCCCGCCCCCUCACGCCCCACCAGCGACCAGCGCUGCAAACCAACCCCCACCGGUGCUGCCGAUGGCAGCGAGAAGUAAUGGAGAGCCGCGGCGGCCGACGUUGAGGCGUUGCAACCAUGGCGACAAGUGAUGGAGAUCCAUCAUUUUCUUUUCUUGGAAGCAGCCCCAAUUUUUGCUGCAGACGCCCUUGAUUUUUGCUGAAACCAGUACAUGACGCUGCAAGUUGACAAUGGCGGCGAGCCGGAGACGGGGACGCCAGGGAUGCUCCAACCAUGAUGACAGCGCACUAGAACCCUCAUGUGUUUGAGUUGCAACCAUGACGAGCAGAGGCAGCCAAGGCAAGUGUCGGACACGACCGUCAGGCAAGCGGCAGGCGAGCGCGGGUGACGGGCGUGAUGGCGCGGUGGAAAGCAAGCACGGGAAGACGAGGACUAUCGCGGGCGGCCGGCGAGCACACAGAUCUGGCAUGUGCUCUCGCUGUCCUUUUUUUCAUGUUUCCUGUGCGUGUUUUUUUUCUGCGUGUUUGACUUUAAAACAAAGCAAUAAGACGGUGGGGAACCGAUGUAUCGGGCGGCUGGGGCUUGACCGGCCGAACAGUUCGGCCGGUGCGCCGGCGCCUACAAGCGCCCUUUUAAUUUGUGCGCGGCGCAUUCGUCGUGGCAACGAUCCGUCCAACGGCUUUGGAGACUGAGUUUGUCUGUGGCCGGAUCUCUGUGUCCACACAUACAAGGAUGCUCUUGGAGGAAUUUUAUAGGAAAAAAAUGAGAAAAAUUCACUGUAGGUCACAAAACUUGAGCCGGUUGACACUUUAGUACCACUAUUUCAAAAAUACCCGAACUACAGUUCAUGUACUUGCGCAAAGGGUUCACUUUGGUCCGUAUAUACGAAUUUAGCUACGUAUUCGCUGACUUGGCCGAGUCAGCUGUUGCUGGCUAGGCUUUGACCGCCACCUGUGUAGCACCUAGUCGGGGGGGGGUAAUACUAGUAGUUCGGUUUUUUUUGCAAAUGCGCCAACACCUGAACAUUAAACGCUCGCGCACCUGGUGGGACCGCACCGCUCGCACCCUCUCUGCUCGUCGUUGCUGCCGAGGUAGUGCCUUUGCUCGUCGGCGUCGACGACGGCUCCAUGAGCACGUCGUCAGACGCUGAGCUGCCGCCGUCCGCGCCGUUCGGGAGGGGCCUGCGGACGUGCCUCUUGCUCCUUCGCGUCGUCAUGAUGAUGCCUCGCCGCCCAUGUACGGUACGUCGCCGUCGCCGGCAGCUCCGUUGCUCGAUCUGUCCAAUUUAGCUCCCGUGAAGAGUUCUUGGUCGCAUCAAUUGCGCGUACGAGCUAGGGUUUGGGCGUUCGUUCAACUCUCUGACGAAUUGGGUGUGGGGUGGUAGGGUUUUAGCAGUUUCUUGAAGAACUUUGUGGCAGACCAUAAAUAGGGCUACGUCAUGGGGGGUUUGCAGUAGAUGGCCAUGUUUGCAGAGAUCUGGAGUGGUUAGGGUUCUUUCUCCCCCCAAUUUGUCAUGGGUCCAGGGGUCUAGGGUUUAAGCAGUAAAGUUUGCUUUUAGUGUCAGAGUGUUAAUUGGACCAAAAUUGUUUUAAUUUGCAAUUACAUUGGGUCAGAUUUACCAAAAAUGGUUGCUUUACGACCUGUAAGAUCAUACAUUUGUUAAUUGCAGCCAUGAGUCUCUGUUUUUCUUUCUGAAAAAGUCAAAAAGUCUGAAUGUCUGGACUGUCUGAACCUCUCUGUAGCCUGAAAUGUCUGAACUUUUUCAACUUGAUUGUUUUGCAUGACCCUUAAGCAACCACUUCUCUAUUGAGGUCA